UGGGGAAUAUUGCACAAUGGGCGGAAGCCUGAUGCAGCGACGCCGCGUGGGGGAUGAAGGCCUUCGGGUUGUAAACUCCUUUCGACAGGGACGAAGCUUUUGUGACGGUACCUGUAUAAGAAGCACCGGCUAACUACGUGCCAGCAGCCGCGGUAAUACGUAGGGUGCGAGCGUUGUCCGGAAUUACUGGGCGUAAAGAGCUCGUAGGUGGUUUGUCGCGUCGUCUGUGAAAUUCCGGGGCUUAACUCCGGGCGUGCAGGCGAUACGGGCGGACUUGAGUGCUGUAGGGGAGAGUGGAAUUCCUGGUGUAGCGGUGAAAUGCGCAGAUAUCAGGAGGAACACCGAUGGCGAAGGCAGGUCUCUGGGCAGUAACUGACGCUGAGGAGCGAAAGCAGGGGUAGCGAACAGG
rnacentral:rRNA from 1 species